CUAUGAACAUAAAAAAUUCAUCAUGGUGCUCGCCUCCAUGGAAUGAUACAGAGAAGAUUAGCGUGGCCCCUGUGCAAGGAUGACAUGCAAAUUUGUGAAGCGUUCCAUAUUUAA
ensembl:snRNA U6 U6 spliceosomal RNA